rnacentral:SRP_RNA from 1 species
GCCGGGCGUGGUGGCACACACCUGUAAUCCCAGCUACUCAGGAGGCUGAGGCAGGAGAAUCGCUUGAACCCAGGAGGCAGAGGUUGUAGUGAGCCAAGAUCGCACCACUGCACUCCAGCCUGGGUGACAAAGCGAGACUCUGUCUCUA